rnacentral:lncRNA from 1 species
GAUUUUGUAAGUGAAAAGACAUGUUAUGGUAAUAUGAUUAUUGUCAUACUGAGAUAACUUAACGGAGACAAAUGAGAUGCAAUGAUAUCGUUCUACCUCAAAUAACAUUCACUAAUUUCGUGAAAACCCAAGCCUGAGAAAAACCUUGAAUCAUUUUACUCACCAAAUUGAUAUUCUCUUGUUAUUCACACUUCAUAGGUUUUAUUAUGUUGAAACAAUAUGUUUAAGCAUAUGGUCACAUGGAGAAUUCUUAAAAAUAAUGUUAGCAUAUAACAAUGUUACACAAAUUCCUAUCCCACAGUGGUUAGAGUUAAGAAUUUAUUUUUCUUUAUUUUUUUCGUGAAGAAAUAAUUUAUAGAAAUAAUUUUAGUCAUUCCGAUAGUUUUUAAUUCUAUUAUAACUCUCAAUUUAAAAUUUAUACUCUAAAUUAUUUUAUUUGCCACAUCACCUCCCUCUUUGUUAAUUAAUUUAAAAGCAUCAGAGUACAGUGUUUCAGCCUGGAGACACUGUGUCUCGGAGAAAACCUUGGAGUUUAUAUCGAGUGCCAACUGCCAAAUACUCUACUUAAAGUAUUGUUAUCCUUAUGGAUCCACAUUUUGCUUUCUAGUCAAAGCAAAGAAUUUAAAAGUGAAUAAUUAAGUUUGAGCAGCUCUAACCUAACCACACACAACGAGAUGCUCAUCCUUUCAAGAUAGAUACGAAUUUAAACUUGCAGCUUCCUGGAAGUGGCCACCGAAAGUGCAUCAGACAAAAAAGAAAAGGAAUCACAAGCUCUAAUUCUAUAAAAUGGGUUAUGCCUGUAUGGCCUUAUGUAAGCAGGGAGGGCUGUAGAAAUUUGUUGAACAUGGCUUUUUGAAGCAAUAUAAAAAAAGUUGGAAUAGAAGCAUUCACAUUACUUGAUGACUGUAGUAAAAGCAGAAAGCCGAGGCCUCAUAACCAUCAUAUUAAUCAGCUUGCUAAUUUGCAAAAUCAUUAUCGUGGCAAGGAAACUAUUGA